rnacentral:rRNA from 1 species
GAUUUAGUUUACUAAUGAUACUCUUAGUGGCGGACGGGUUAGUAACGCGUGAGCAACUUGCCUCAAAGAGGGGGAUAGUCCUGGGAAACUGGGUUUAAUACCGCAUGUGCUCUUCGGAGUAAAGCUGGCUUCGGCUGGUGCUUUGAGAUAGGCUCGCGUCCUAUCAGCUAGUUGGUGAGGUAACGGCUCACCAAGGCGACGACGGGUAGUUGGUCUGAGAGGACGAUCAGCAACACUGGAACUGAGACACGGUCCAGACACCUACGGGUGGCAGCAGUCGAGAAUCAUUCACAAUGGGGGCAACCCUGAUGGUGCAACGCCGCGUGGAGGAUGAAGGCCCUAGGGUCGUAAACUCCUGUCAUAUGAGAGUAAGGCAUAUUAGUUAAUAGCUAGUAUGUUUGAUAGUAUCAUAAGAGGAAGGGACGGCUAACUUCGUGCCAGCAGCCGCGGUAAUACGAAGGUCCCGAGCGUUAUUCGGAAUCACUGGGCGUAAAGGGAGCGUAGGCUGCGUGGUAAGUCAGAUGUGAAAUCUCAGGGCUCAACCCUGAAACUGCAUCCGAUACUGCCACGCUAGAGUAAUGGAGGGGUAAGUGGAAUUCUCAGUGUAGCAGUGAAAUGCGUAGAUAUUGAGAGGAAGACCAACGGCGAAGGCAGCUUACUGGACAUUUACUGUCGCUGAGGCUCGAAGGCUAGGGUAGCGAAAGGGAUUAGAUACCCCUGUAGUCCUAGCAGUAAACGAUGUGCGCUUGGUGUGGGCAGGUUCGACCCUGUCUGUGCCGGAGCUAACGCGUUAAGCGCACCGCCUGGGGAGUACGGUCGCAAGACUAAAA